rnacentral:rRNA from 1 species
AUACAUGCAAGUCGAGCGAACAGAUAAGGAGCUUGCUCCUUUGACGUUAGCGGCGGACGGGUGAGUAACACGUGGGUAACCUACCUAUAAGACUGGAAUAACUUCGGGAAACCGAAGCUAAUGCCGGAUAACAUGUAGAACCGCAUGGUUCUACAGUGAAAGAUGGCUUUGCUAUCACUUAUAGAUGGACCCGCGCCGUAUUAGCUAGUUGGUAAGGUAACGGCUUACCAAGGCAACGAUACGUAGCCGACCUGAGAGGGUGAUCGGCCACACUGGAACUGAGACACGGUCCAGACUCCUACGGGAGGCAGCAGUAGGGAAUCUUCCGCAAUGGGCGAAAGCCUGACGGAGCAACGCCGCGUGAGUGAUGAAGGUCUUCGGAUCGUAAAGCUCUGUUAUUAGGGAAGAACAAGUGCGUAAGUAACUGUGCGCACCUUGACGGUACCUAAUCAGAAAGCCACGGCUAACUACGUGCCAGCAGCCGCGGUAAUACGUAGGUGGCAAGCGUUAUCCGGAAUUAUUGGGCGUAAAGCGCGCGUAGGCGGUUUCUUAAGUCUGAUGUGAAAGCCCACGGCUCAACCGUGGAGGGUCAUUGGAAACUGGGAGACUUGAGUGCAGAA